GUUGGGCAUGGUUGAGCACGCUUGUAAUUCUUGAGCCCCGGGGGAAGCAAGGUUGGUGGAUUGCCUGAGCUCAGGAGUUCUGAGUCACAAUAGUGCUAAAGUUGAUAUGGUUUCCACAUGAAAUCUUGUGCCAAUAUGGUGACCCCUGGGAAUGGGAGGGAGGGGGUGUCAGGGACCACCAGGCUGUCUAAAGAGAAGUGAAGAGGCCUAAGUUGGAAACAAAAGAGGUCAAAGCUUCUGUGCCAAUCAGAAGUGAGAUCAGGCCAUGACCAACCACCGUUUUCUAGUUUAGACAAAGUAGGAAGAUUCAAUCUC
rnacentral:SRP_RNA from 1 species